AUUGAACGCUGGCGGCAGGCCUAACACAUGCAAGUCGAGCGGAGCGGCAGUCGGGGACGUAAUACCUAGGAAUCUGCCUGGAAGUGGUGGUGAGGUCCGGAUACGGGAGACUGUACCUAAUACCAUCAGGUGAGCGUAGGUCGGAUUAGCUAGUUGGUAGGGGAAAGGCCUACCAAGGCGACGAUCCGUAACUGGUCUGAGAGGAUGAUCAGUCACACUGGAACUGAGACACGGCCCAGACUCCUACGGGAGGCAGCAGUGGGGAAUAUUGGACAAUGGGCGAAAGCCUGAGGCAGCCAUGCCGCGUGUGUGAAGAAGGUCUUCGGAUUGUAAAGCACUUUCAGUUGGGAGGCGUUACCAACAGAAUAAGCACCGGCUAACUCCGUGCCAGCAGCCGCGGUAAUAC
rnacentral:rRNA from 1 species